GCAGCAACACCAUCUAUUAUUAAUCUUCUUGCUGAAUUAUUACAGUAUUUCUGAGGAAAACGGAUUAAUUUGUGAAAUCUGACAGGUUCUCUUGAUUUAAAUGGUAGGUGGCUCUGUUAAGCACUAGGAAGUCCUUUAGUUAUGUAAAUCCUUAAUAAUACAGGCCUGAACUGUGGAAACUGAGAGAUGUCCCCGAGGGACACAGUGGAUUCUGGCAGGUGGAAGGGUGUGAGGAAUGCUGUCUGUUUGUGAUGGUUUGAAUGUGUCCAGGUUGCAAUCAGAGGAAUGGGCUAAGUGACUUUAGAGGUUCCUUCUGGACCAAAGAGUGUUUCCUAUAAUUAACUGUUAUUUGCUGCUCAGUAACAGCAAUUUCAGUCUGUCUAUCUAUCUAUCUAUCUAUCUAUCUAUCUAUCUAUCUAUCUAGACAUCUAUUUUAGGGCUGCACCCUCGCCUGGGAACCUCCAUAUGCCGCGGAGCGGCCCAAGAAAUAGCAAAAAGACGGAAAAAAAAAAAAAAAAGAAAUAUAGGUGACCUGAAGAUAUUGCCAUUGCAUUUCUCCCCACUGCACGUACAAUCAAAUCCUCAUUAAGCCUCUGGGACCACCUGGUAUUGCUACUUUGAAAUAUAAAUUCAGUACAGAUAAUGAAUCCAGCUGGGAAUACUUAAGAAAACUCAAAUGAAUGCUUUUUAAAGUUUUUAAUAAAAAUAGGUUUUAAUACACAAAUGAAAAUUUGUGCAAGAUUUGGGUUUAUUUGAAUGCUGGUCUAAAUUAAGAUAAAUGAUAGUUGGAUAUUAUCUGAUAACUUAAGAAAUGCUAUUGAAUGUCUUCUGAUUGUUUUUCUAGCCACAGCUGAGUAUAGUUUUUUUUUUGUUUUUUUUUUUUUUUUUUUUUUUUCUGAGCAUAUUUGAGAGUUUGCAAAACUUGGCUUACAAUAGGGACCUAAACAAUUAUAGGUUUGAAUUCAGUUCGUAGGACUCUGAAGCAAUUAUGUAUUUAGAUCUUAGAAGCUCUGGUGUUUGCUUCAGCAAUGUAGCAAAUCUAUAAAUUUAUCCUUCUUUUUUUUUUAAGCUUGCAUUUACCUGCAUGGUACACUCCCCUUUUUUUCCCUUGGAAAGUGUCUGUUUUCAUUGUAUUCUGAGAUGUGUUUAAUCUUCCUUUAUUUUUUUUUCCAUUUAAUCCACGGAUUAACUUUAUUAUCUCUUCUCUCUUUUUUCUUCCCUAAGAGCUGCAACAUUUUCACGAUGUUUUAAAUCUUACAGCACUGAGUUGAAUACAAAUGGAAUUCCAAACAAGCAAACGCAUAAUCUAUCUCCCCUUUUUGGGAUUGCUAAUUAUCAAAGAAAGUUUAUUCUUUGCUGUCAGGGUUUUUACAUAGACAUUAUUUUCACUUAGGCAUUUAAAGUACUUUAUUAAGUUUUAGUGUUUUCUGAGGCUCUUCUAUUUUUAUAUAAACUGAUAUGUUAAGUAAGUAGAAUGCCUCUCUUUUCCUAUAGUUCUGCAAUUGGACUUAUCCAAAGAAGUAUGUCCCUUUCUGAGGAAAAACACUCUAAGUGUGCUUGAUUUGGAGUUGCAGGGCCAGCAGGAAAUUAUUCAAUACUAGACUUUCCUAGUGAAAGGACCAAUCCCCUCAUUUUAGAGAAUAGAAGCUGAGACUCAUAGAAGAAAAGUGACUCAUCAAAGUUGAUGGGGGAACUCAGUGCUCCACCAGUACAACCUGCUGCCUCUCAUCUAGAAAACUUUCCACAUUCAAUGGGCCCCUACUGUAUGCCAAGACUGUAUAGGGGACAUUUUUUAAUUGAAUUUUUGGAGGUUUAUUGAUACAUAAUUGUUAUAUAACAUCAUGUAUAUUUAAGGUAUACAGUGUAUUUGAUACAUGUGUGUUUUGCAAAAUGGCACCAUGAGUAGGUUAGUUAACACAUCCAUCACCUCAUACCAUUGCAAUAUUUUUUGUGUGUAUAGUAAGAACAUUUAAGACCUACUGUCAGCAACUUUCAAGUAUGUAAUACAGUUUUGUUAGCUAUAGUCAACAUGCUGAAUAGAAGAUCCUCAGAAUUUGUUCAUUUUUAUAACUGGAAGUUUGUACCAUUUGACCAGCAUCUAUCCAUUUUCUCCACUCCUACCCAUCCCCCACCUUGACAAUUAGCAUUCUACUCUCUGUUUCUAUGAGUUUAGAUUUUUUUUAGAUUCCACAUAUAAAUGAAAUCAUACAAACCAUACCGUAUUUGUCUUUAUCUGACGUGUGUUUCACUCAGCAUGAUGCCCUCAAGGUCCACCCAUGUUAUUGCAUCAUUUUAUGGCUGAAUAAUAUUAUUUACCAUAUAUAAAAAUAAUGUAUAAUAUAUAUAUAUAUAUAUAUACACACACACACACACCUAUUUAAAUUUUAUUCAUUCAUCUGUUGAUGGACACUUAGUUUGUUUCCAUGUAUUAAUUGUUGUGAAUGAACAGUAUUGCAAUGAACAUAGGGGUGCAAAUAUCUUUUUGAGAUCCUGAUUUUAUUUCCUUCAGAUAUGUACCCAGAAAUGGGAUUGCUGGAUCAUAUGGUUCUUCUAUGUCUAAUUUUUAAAGGAAUCUCCAUACUCUUUUCCAUAAUAGCUAUAUCACCAACUGUGCACUAGGGUUCCCUUUUUUUCCACAUCCUUGCCAAUCCUCAUUAGUUCUUUUUGUUUUGAUAAUUGUUGGAGGAGGUCAUCAGGAGGUGGAGACUGCUGGCUGACCCAUGAGCUGGACCAGGCAAUCCAAAUCUCUUCACCCCUUCCCUGGUCUUUAGAAUGUACAUUCUGUGGGUGGGUGUGGAGGUAUACACCUAAGACACACUUCAUAUGUAUGUUCCCUUGCUUAUUAAACCUGCCACCUACCAAGCUAGAGUGGUCUGCCUCUUACUUCUGUUUCUCCUUGCCCUGCGUGUGUGGGGGCCAAUUUUGUGAGCCAACAAUAAUGACUGAGAUGAGCUUGAGCCAGUUCAUGGGCCAUUUCAAGGUUGGGAUUGAGGUAUUUGGGGCUUCUCCUGGGUCCCUUGGUGUAUCAGGCAGGUGGCCAUCACAAAGCCAAAUGGGGCUGUGGCCAUGUUGUCAGGGUACAGAGCUAUUUUCAUUUCUGCAGCCAAGACCACAGUUGGCAAGUCAGACAGAGGGUUGCAAGCCUGUCUUGCUCUCCUCAGUCUUAGACUGCCCUGGGCUUUCAGUCUUCCACCUGGAUCCCAAAUCUCCCACAAAGGCAUGUUUGUCUGUAGAGGGAUGCUAAAUUAUUGUUGAAGAAGGAUAUGUAUGAGGAACAUAUUAUUCAACCAUUUUUCUCAGGAUGCUGUUUUUACGUGGUAUAUAUUUCUCCUUCAUCUUUAUGACUUUCCAAACUUCAGAGUAUAUAUACUGUGAGAAGCACACUGAUAGUUAUCAUUUAAAUAAAUUUUGUUUAAGAAAUUAGACUUAAGCAAAUCAAACAAAUGAUAGAAAUAAUUUACUUAAAAGAAGGACACUUAGGAGUUCCCAUCGUGACUCAGUGGUUAAUGAAUCCAACUAGGAACCAUGAGGUUGCGGGUUCGGUCCCUGGCCUUGCUCAGUGGGUUAAGGAUCCAGUGUUGCCGUGAGCUGUGGUGUAGGUUAUAGAUGUGGCUUGGAUCCCGUGUUGCUGUGGCUCUGGUGUAGGCUGGUGGCUACAGCUUCUAUUAGACCCCUAGCCUGGGAAUCUCCAUGUGCUGCAGAAGCGGCCCUAGAAGAGGCAAAAAAAAAAAAAAAAAAAAAAAAA
rnacentral:lncRNA from 9 species